GAUAAUGAGCAUACGGACUAGAACACCCAAGACUUUUCUCCGGUGUUUCAAUGUCGCGGUUAAUUCCCGAGGCUUUAUCCCAUCUAAAUUCCGACCCGUUUUCAGAAACUUCUCUGAUUCUCUUGUCUUUCUCUGUUUAAAGCGAUAACAACGACGAAUCUGGCGGGAAGCAUUUAGAGAUUAGAUCCCCACCCACCCCCAACCCACCGAAUUUACCGUUUUAUCCUUCUUCAUCCGCCACCAAACGCCUCUUUGUUCCUCGUAAUUAAAUACACCGACGUCGUCUUCACACACAACACCCACGCCUCUACGCGCCUUAGAAGCCAAGCAUAUCUAAUUCCCUUUUUAUUUAAAAAAAAUAAAUAAAUAAAUAAAAAGAAAAAACAGAAUUCAUUUUAAGCUACUCUGAAUCGGUACAAAUUUAUAUAAUUCUGAUUUCUGAGCUGUAUUUUUAUGAGUUAGUUUUUUCUGGUUUUAUUUUAUUUUUUGCUCUUCUGGGUUUGUUUUUGUCUAGAUGUGCGUGUCGUCUGUUGUUGCACUACGUCUGAUCCACUUGACGUCUUUCAAUCUUUGCCGUUGGUUUGUACAGCGUGGAUUCCUUCUCCUUCUUGUUCUUGCACAUUCUCGGCGUGCCUUUUUCUCAAUGUUAUGAAGCUCGCCGGUGAUUGUUUCCUUUUCUUCUUCUCCUUCUUCGUUUUCUGAUCCACUUGACGUCUUUCAAUCUUUGCCGUUGGUUUGUACAGCGUGGAUUCCUUCUCCUUCUUGUUCUUGCACAUUCUCGGCGUGCCUUUUUCUCAAUGUUAUGAAGCUCGCCGGUGAUUGUUUCCUUUUCUUCUUCUCCUUCUUCGUUUUCUUUGCUUCUCUUACUUGUUCAUGGAAUUUCCUUGACAAAGAAGGUCCUCUGACUCUCUUUUUCUAUCUAUGUUUUUGAUAUACUCUCUCUCUCUCUCUAUAUAUAUAUAUAUAGGUUUGUUUUAUUAAUUUGGUUAGUCAUUUUGUGAAAAAAGCAGUGAAUUCUGGUAAAUUGGGCUUAGAGCUUGAUUUUGAUGGGGAAUGAUGACGAGAGGCGGUGCAUAUUCCCCUUGACGAGUUUGCAAAUUGGAGACUUGCAGUCUUACCUUUCUGAUCUUAGCCUUUUUAUUGCCAUUGAAAGCAACAAAUUCUAUAUCUUGGUGGAUAAUCGGCCAUGGCUGAGAGAUCGUUCCCGGCCGGCGCACUUUUGGCAAUUUAUGGUUACUAAGUCACGGUUAUCUCCUUUUGCAAACACCAAAGCAAGGAAGGAAAGAAAGGAGGAUAAGGAGGCUUGUCCUGUAGCUAACACGGGCAAACAAAAGAGGUUUUCAAGAUGGUUCCCAUUAAUUGACGCAGCAUUGUCUCAAAAGAAGGUUUUGCUACCUGUAAAGAAACUGCGCAAUUCUUUGCUUUCGAGCAGUGAGUUGCAUAGGACCUUGUAUGGUUUUAUUGUAUUUGAAGUUGCAUGGAGUGAUGUCCGAGGUAUCAACUACUUAAAUGAGCUUCAGACUGAUACUUCACUUGCUAUAGAGGCUAAAUUCAUGCAAAGGUGGGAAUUUGAUAGUAUAUCUCAAGCUGCAAGCUGUAUAUCCUCAUGGUUCUCAGGAACACUCUCAGAUCAACUGCUGCUGACAGAGUAUCUGGAUUCUGCGAUUGGAGAGGUCUUCUAUGAUGCUGAAGAUGUAUCAAAAACAAGUUCUGUUGAUGAUGAUGGUAAUAUCAGCGAUGAUAAUCUGCCUACCGAGGAUAAUGCUCUCCACUGGCUUGGUAACAAGUAUAGUAUUAGCAUGUAUCCAAAAACGAGUGAAAAUGAGACUGGUGAAUUGCAUACACCACCUCCUCCCACUGGGCCAUAUAAGAGAAGGAAAGUAUCAAAGUCUAUCGGUACUCGAGUUGAAGUGGGCAUGUUUUCUGAGGAAAAUGGUGACUCUGAAACCUACACAAGUAAUUGUGAAAAUGCAGUGGAUGCUACCCAGUACAGAGAUGUUCUGAUUUUGUUCAGGUUCAAUGACCAUGACCUUCCAUUUAAGCUAAGGCAAAUUAUAAUGGCUGAUUUGCGAUUACUCACUUUAUUAGAAGCCGGGCUUCCAUCUUGGGUUAUCUUUCUUCAGUCAUACCCAGGCUUUUGUCAUCUCUAUCGCCCAUGGAUGUGCCCUUUGGCAAGAGCUUUGUAUGUACUGAUCUCGAUUAUCACUGUUCUUAUUGGAUUUUACGAUCUAUACAAAAAUGUUCCAGUUCUCAAAGCAACUGCAUCUCGUUUGUGUGGGCCUCUUUUGGAUUGGAUAGAGACUUGGGAGAUGAUAUCAAGGAUCAAAUACCUGGGAACAAUGCUAUUCUUACAUAACUUUCAGAAGGCAGUUCAGUGGUCUCUGACAAUCAGGCGUACCACUCAAUCCUUUCUUUCAGUUCUCACUCAACCACUAGCAGAGCCACUUGUGGAAAUUUUUGGGUUCCUCAUUCCAACAUGGAAUAUGUUGAUUGACUUGCUGGAGAGCUUAUGUUCACUUAUUUGGAUUCUAGCAGAGUCUUGGUGCAGUCUUGUGGGCGACCUGGUAGAGAUUUUACUUCUGCCUGUUUGGUUUGUCCUUUCAACUAUCUGGAGUAUUGCAACUUCAAUUUUAUAUCCUACAUUUUGGGUCCUCUGGGAAAUACUAUAUGCUCCAAUUCGAUUGGUUCUUGCCUUAGCUAAUCUCAUAGCAAUUUUAUGUGCCUGCAUAUGUGAUACCCUUGGAGAAAUAUGGCAGUUUUUUAAUGGCAUUUUCCGGGUUGCUUCAGCCACUAGGACAACAGUGAGCACCUAUGAAGUAUCCAUGUGGCGCUCAUUAUGGAAUGACCUAUUCUCCCAGGUUUUUCGUGCCCUCAGGAGUAUAUUAAAUGGUUUUGUUGCCUUCUUCACUGCCUGCAAUAGGCAUCGCCUUAGCAUUUAUAAUCAUAUACAGGAGUUUAUACGAAGAUUAUUUGGUCAUAGCCAGAGAUCACGGCAUGAAGAUCCAAGACGUAGAAGACCAAAACAUGAGAGUCAGAAAUAGUUGUGAAGGAUAACAUAUUAUAUCACUGGUAUAGUGAACAGUGGUAUUGUAUAGCUAGCUGCAGGAUGAAUGUAUCAAAACUCAACGAGUGUUCUGCUUGAUAUUGCAGAAAAUUAAUAAGUCGCGAGUAGCAAGGGAAGUUCACAUUGGUUAAGGUUACAACAUUUUAGAGGCUAAUUGGAUCAACGUGGUGCUUCUCUCUCGGGAGUUCCAAAUGUAUGGUCUACUUUCAAGGCACAUUUGACAACACGAGAAAGCUAACUUUCAAUGAGUUUGGAGGAAAAGGGUACAUAAAUCAUCCACUUCGUUUACAGUGAUACAUUUCAGUGAAACCAUAUUUUCUCUAUAGGAGUUUGAUUCUUUUAUUUCACAAUUUUCAUCAACUUACUUCUGUCCGCUUCCGUCCCUCCCGAAUUUAGAUUUUUCAUUCAUUCUUUUGUUUUUUCCCCUUUUUGUAGCCGCAGUUAAUCUUAUGCUCGGUAAUCAUCAAAUUCUGGAAUGUAAAUAGUAUGCAGAGGAAUGUUGUAUAUAUUAAGUGUUAAUAGUCAUCAUAAAGGAAAUUUUUUCUUGCUCA